AUUUAAGUAGUUUAUAAAAAAAUAAAGAGUUGUGGUUUCUUAGAAACUAAAUAGUCUUAAAUU
rnacentral:tRNA from 1 species